UACGAAGGGUGCAAGCGUUACUCGGAAUUACUGGGCGUAAAGCGUGCGUAGGUGGUUUGUUAAGUCUGUUGUGAAAGCCCCGGGCUCAACCUGGGAAUGGCAAUGGAUACUGGCAAGCUAGAGUGCGGUAGAGGGUAGUGGAAUUCCCGGUGUAGCGGUGAAAUGCGUAGAGAUCGGGAGGAACACCCGUGGCGAAGGCGGCUCUCUGGGACGGUACUGACGCUGAGACGCGAAAGCGUGGGGAGCGAACAGG
rnacentral:rRNA from 1 species